AUUGAACGCUGGCGGCAUGCUUUACACAUGCAAGUCGAACGGCAGCACGGGGCAACCUGGUGGCGAGUGGCGAACGGGUGAGUAAUAUAUCGGAACGUACCCAGAAGUGGGGGAUAACGUAGCGAAAGUUACGCUAAUACCGCAUACGAUCUACGGAUGAAAGUGGGGGAUCGCAAGACCUCAUGCUUUUGGAGCGGCCGAUAUCUGAUUAGCUAGUUGGUAGGGUAAAGGCCUACCAAGGCGACGAUCAGUAGCUGGUCUGAGAGGACGACCAGCCACACUGGGACUGAGACACGGCCCAGACUCCUACGGGAGGCAGCAGUGGGGAAUUUUGGACAAUGGGCGCAAGCCUGAUCCAGCAAUGCCGCGUGAGUGAAGAAGGCCUUCGGGUUGUAAAGCUCUUUUGUCAGGGAAGAAACGGCUUGGGAUAAUACCUUGGGCUAAUGACGGUACCUGAAGAAUAAGCACCGGCUAACUACGUGCCAGCAGCCGCGGUAAUACGUAGGGUGCAAGCGUUAAUCGGAAUUACUGGGCGUAAAGCGUGCGCAGGCGGUUUUGUAAGUCUGUCGUGAAAGCCCCGGGCUUAACCUGGGAAU
rnacentral:rRNA from 1 species